GGUUUUGUAGUUUAAAAAAACAUGUGCUUUGCAAGCAUAAGAUCUAAAGUAAUUAGUGAAACCG
rnacentral:tRNA from 1 species